GACGAACGCUGGCGGCGUGCCUAAUACAUGCAAGUAGAACGCAGUUGCGAACGGGUGAGUAACGCGUAGGUAACUGCCUCAUAGCGGGGGAUAACUAUUGGAAACGAUAGCUAAUACCGCCUACUGUGAGAUGGACCUGCGUUGUAUUAGCUAGUUGUUGAGGUAAAGGUUCACCAAGGCGACGAUACAUAGCGGACCUGGGAGGGGGAGCGGCGCCGCAGGGACAGGUACACCGCCCAGACUCGGACGGGAGGACGCCGUAGGGACUCUUGGGAAAUGGAAGUAAGUCUGACCGAGCAAUGCCGCGUGAGUGAAGAAGGCUUUCGGGUCUGAAAGCUGUGUUGUUAGGGAUGCGGUACCUAAACAGAAAGGGACGGCUAACUACGUGCCAGCAGCCGCGGUAAUAC
rnacentral:rRNA from 1 species